rnacentral:misc_RNA from 1 species
GAAAUGCGAUAAGUAAUGUGAAUUGCAGAAUUCCGUGAAUCAUCGAAUCUUUGAACGCACAUUGCGCCCUCUGGUAUUCCGGGGGGCAUGCCUGUCCGAGCGUCAUUGCGAACCCCUCAAGCACGGCUUGUGUGAUGGGCCCUCCCGCGUCUUGGUCGUCAAGACGGGCCCGAAAUGCAGUGGCGGCUUCGCGGUUAUCCGAUCAGCCAGAGCGUAUGGGGACUUUCUCUCUGUCACACGCCCGCGGCGCGGUCCGACGCCUGUCGACCUUCAUUCAUCGUUUUCUCGGUUGACCUCGGAUCAGGUAGGGAUACCCGCUGAACUUAAGC